rnacentral:rRNA from 1 species
CCCUUAGAUGUUCUGGGCCGCACGCGCGCUACACUGAUGCAUUCAACGAGUCUAAAACCUGCUCUGAUAGGGGUGGGUAAUCUUUUGAAUGUGCAUCGUGAUUGGGAUAGAUGAUUGCAAUUUUUCAUCUUCAACGAGGAAUGCCUAGUAAACGCAAGUCAUCAGCUUGCAUUGAUUACGUCCCUGCCCUUUGUACACACCGCCCGUCGCUCCUACCGAUUGAAUGAUCCGAUGAAUAUCGUGGACUGAGGGUGUAAGCAGGUUCGCCUGUCUUGAUCUUCGGGAAGCGAAGUAAAUCUUAUCAUUUAGAGGAAGGAGAAGUCGUAACA